GUGUUCUCGCAAAUUGAAACGCGUCCAGAAGUUGGAACGAGUGCCAGAUGAAUGUCGAAACGAGCGUUUCACGAAUAGAGAGAGACUAUUAUCCGUCGUUUUCGAAGACGUCAUAAAAAACAUUGGAGUGGCAAAGAACUUUGAAGAAUAUUCGUUGAAAACAACCCUGUCAAACGAGAAAAUUUAUCGUGGCCAGUCUGCAAUCAGUGAACCAAGAGAGGCAAGGUCCAGAUCUUUUUUCUUCGAAUUCUGGAACGAGCUCGACCCUUUCAAAGUAUUCCACCCCUCUUCUCCUUUCUUUACUGCCCUCCGAAACAGGAAGAGAUUCGUUACGGUAAUUCGUGCGACACGGUUCAUUGUUUCCGGUUAUUGAUGCGUGAAUGAAUAGAAUUCAGCUGCUUACAUAUGAACUUAAUACGAUGUAACAUAAGAAAGGGAUGAUUGAAAAAAAUAAAUAAAAAAAUAAAUUUCAGGAAUUUGAAAAAGAAACGAAAC